UAUGUACACCUGGGAUGGUUACUUACUCAAACGCUUGUGCUUUGGACUGAAAAAGUGACAGGCCAACAAUGAUUCGCGAAAGGCACAGACAUUUCACCAGCAAAAAAGUUACUGACUAACCAAAACAAACUCAAGAACGCAGAGCCAAAAAGUGAGAGAAGAAAGAAAAAGUUUAGUCCCUAAUAAUAAGGAGAGCUGACCUGUGCUACAUGGUGACACACGGACAUUUGACAACAUUACAGAAGGUCUGUGCCUCAGCUGUUCCCAUCGACUUCUACAGGACGUUCUGUCUAUCGGAUCUUUGGACAUGUAAAAUUACUGUAACGACACUUGCAUAUUCCAGCUGAGGAUCUCAGUAAAUACAAGAUUGGUCAGUUAUAAACAAACUUCUUUGCUCAGAGAGAGGAAGAGAAUGCAAGGGAAGAUGAUGGUUAUUAAAGACUCUGAAAGAUGCCAUAUGUCAGACUGAUGGGCCAGAUGUGCAUAUCCUUCCAGGAAAAACUUACUCUUAAGCAGCAGAGUAAGAUCCUUCUGGCUUUUUGAUCAGCAUGUUUACUGCGAUGGAUGAACAGUGGGUUGCCAAAAACAGUUUUCCCUCUGGAUCUAUUAACUCUAGAAGUAUGUCUUUUUUAUUCAUCUAAGAAUAUUACCCAGAUGGAAACAACUAGCAGAUCCUAUGGCACACAAAGCACCAGACAUUAAACCACAGGUAGAUACUCACACAUUGUGGUUAGGAGUUUAAUAACAUUGCUGGGAACUGGCAAUAAGUCACUGCUCUAACACCUGGGUGUGAACGUCCCCAAAUCAUGAUGCAUUUUCAGUAUGUAGCUUUUAUUUGGAACAAUGUCUGCAAGCAUGCAUUCAGCAAGAAAGCUGAGAUGACAGCUUCACCUUCUGUAACACAGCUACCAAAGAAAUAAUCUUCCUUCCAAACUUUCACAUAAUCUAGAGAAAGCAAACCAACUGGGUGAAAUCCUGCCCUGUUGAAGUCAGUGCAAAAACUCCCUUUGUCCACUACAGUGCCUGGAUUUCACACACUGAGAACGCUUCCAGGUUAUAAAAAUUCGUGCAGUGUUUGCAGUCCUCACCCUGGAAAUGACUCCUUGCCAUUCCUCACAGAACACACUUCGCAUAGCAAAAUGCACAGCAUACCAGACAUCAUUUUUCAAAAUGCAAUUUCUCUGGCCCUCGUUUGUUAAAGGAUCGCCCUGAAAACAUGAAUUAAUGUCAGCUGGAGACAGCCAGAUGCAGUAUGCCUGAGAGGGAGGAACUGCACUCUACCUCAGCAGACUGCUGCCCGCAAUCUUACGUUGUUACUGAACAUCAGCAUUAUUGUCUGUCUCCCUGAUGGUCAUUUAUUUGAGAACACCUGGUUAAUAGGCCUCUUUCGAUCCCCAGUUUUUUUCUGUGCAUCAGAAACCACCACUGUCACCUCCAAUUCGAAACACCUUCCCCUCUGUCCCCUCCUGCUCUACACGGCGCUCUCUGCGACGUAACGCGUGCGACUGUAACACUGCUGGCGAAUUAAGAGGGGCGAGUCCUGAAUCUCAAGCUCCAAAGCACCUACGGAGAAUGGAAAGCACACGUCAGUAAUGAGUCUGCCUAGCUUUAGUAUCCGACCAAGCAACCAGCGCUGGCGCCUGCGCAGGCUCUCACUCUCCUGUUGCGUGAACCACAGAAUUCAGACACCUGGCCACAAAUGCUCAUGGGUUUUAAAAAAAAAGGAAGAAGAAAAAAAUAUGUGAGCACACUGCCCCUAAGAAGACACGUGAGGCAACAUCAGCGUGGGGUUCCCCAUGGGGAGUGUCUGGAGAAAGGCUGACAACCUGCUGGUUUUCCUGGCCCUUCCACUGCUUCCAGUAUUUCCACUGUUCAGGAGUGACUGACACUCUCUCUCCCUGCCAUAGGAGCUGGUUGAAUUUUUUUCUUAUGAGUAAUACACAAUUGCAAAUUAAGCUUUGCUGGAUUCUGUUAAUGCACAGUAACCGAGGGUCUAGAAGAACAAUUUUCAAUCUCGCUGGCCAAUCCCAUUAUGUUUACCUCACUAAUUAGGGCAUGUGAUUGGUUAUAUAAGUCAUAUGGUAUCAUUAUUACUACCUGAGUGGAUGAUGAACUCAAAUGUAAGAAUGACAAGUCUGGUAAAACUUUCAGACUGCUAAAUACAUGAAACAUCUGUGGUGCAGGAUGUCUUCGCAUUUACAUGAUGGCUUCCAUCAUCCCAGAGAGUUAAUAAAAUGAUCCCCCCUGAAGAGAAGUAUAAUGAUGCCAGGCUGUUUAUCUCUAAACAUUCAUGAAUUUAUCAUCAGAUAACACACCAGCCGUGCCACCUUCUCCAGCCUGCCAGAGGGUCCCCCUGUUCUCUGAGCCGAACACAGGAGAGAGGCCAGCUUCCCUCCUUCCAUUAUUAUUAUUAUUAUCCCCUCAUGUUACUCACCAUAGGCGCUCUGCUCUCCUUGUGAAUGCAGUAUGUCAGCUACCUAAUCACAGUUUGCAACACUUCCUUCAGUAAAGAAUAUCCUUGUCCUCUCUACCUCUGAGAGAGGAAAUAGCCAUUUUUGGAGAUUUCUCUCCAAAUGGCAAUUCGCAUGCUUGUCUGCUCAUAUGGCUACCCAUUAGAUAGGGAUGGGAACUCUCUCACUUGACUUCUACUGGUGAAGAAGAAAACCUUCAAAACUAAGUUUUCAUUCCUUGUUAGGAACAAACCAAAAGCCUCUAUUUAACCAUUUACACCCUCAUGCAGGAAAGACGUGAGAAAAGAAUGAAUUCUCACACUUCUCUCAUCUUUCGCACCUCCAUGGAAAACACUGGAGUUGUCCGAGGCACCUUCCAUUUGUGGUCUCCUCUUCCCCCUGCCCCCAAGAAUGACAGGGGAAACAAUGUACAAAAAGGAAGAAAGAUUCUCCAUCUGCUCCUCAUCCUACCGAAGAGCAGAAGUAGGAGGCUCACAGCUCAGUCUCUGUAUCUUGGAUAACCUAAGGCCCCAACACAGAGAGACCCUUUCAUGUCCAACCUUUCCUUUCUUAAGAUAAGAAACACGAGGACCUCCUGAGCAAGUUCACGAUGAACUGGACAGGAGCAGGCUCUGCUCUCUAGUUCUCAAGACAGAAGAGGCGAAACGAAGAAACAUGGCAAGUCCUGCCCAGUCUGUGCUACCCUGCCAGGUCAGGCCAACAGAAACUUCGCAGAGCCAUUUCUGACCCAGCUGCUGCUGAAGACACAAUGGAGAGACAAGAGGUCUCCCGAGCCCAACCCUCCUAACGCCAUCUCUUGUUUGCAACUCCAUGUGGCAAUAGACAGAAAUUUUUCUCCUUUUAAACAUAUGCUCUGUAAAAUCUCACCUUGAACAGAGGUCAUAUAAGCAAAAAGCACUUUUUGCGUUAUACUCCACAUCAACGCAGACCUGGUAAGCAGCUCAAAGAAAGCCUUCAGACAUGCCAGUACAUCUAGUGUCAAGAGAGGGUGGUAGAAACAGUUCUCAUUACAGCUUGCAGCAUUUGGAAGCCCAAAUCCUCUUUUUAGCAGUGACUUCAGAAACAGCCUAAGUUAGCUGAGAUGGGACUUAAGCUUUAAAUGAGGACAGGACCUAGAUUUCUAUGACUCCCUCUAAGUUGACAGGAAUACUUGCCACUGGCCACCCAGAGCACUGUGCCUGUACUCUGGGGAACACUAGUUUUGCUGUAAACAGCAACAAAAAAAAACACAAGUCAUGGUGGUACAUCUGUCACUGCCAUUUUUUUUUUUUUUUGGCACAGCCUAAAUUGUUCUGACACUUUUGAAAACAUAUUGAAUUAACUUAACCACAGUUGGAUUAUGUUUAGCAUUUUGCAUUUCUGUUAGUGUUAUUUACAUACAAUUUUUCCUCUCCCCCCCCUUCCAGAGACCUUGUUUUAUGGCAGAUUACCUAGCUUUAGGAUCUUUGCAGGCUGUCCUGAACAGGUACACCAUUUUGCGUAGGAGAACAUGGUAAAAGAAACGAUUCUGGACACUGCCCUGCUCUGUGAAAAAAAUAAGGGAGUUUUUUCCCCAUAAGAUGCAUUACUUUCAGUGAUGAGAUUCCAAGUAUAAAGGCUUCCUGCUGCAAGGUAAACAUAUUUGGUUUGCAGUUCCAUUUAAAAGAUCUCCGCUUUAGACAUUUAAGACUUGCAGGGAAGAGAUCACACUGACAGCAAGUCGCUGUGAGCUGCCAAAAUGCACAGAACUGAACCCUGCCCUCUCCUUCAUUGGACUGGUGAGUAUCCUUUUAAAAGCAUGCACAGCCUGCUUCACGCUUACAUGAUGCACAGGGAAUGAGGCAGAGGGCUUGCAGAGUGAAGCAACACCUCAUUCUCAAGCAUGUGCACAGCAGUCCACCUUCGCUUGCUGCUAGAAAUGCUAAGAGAGGGCCAUUUGCACUGCAUAUGUGCAACAUGCAAGUCUCCAAGAUUCAUUACUGUGCAUAUGAAAAUUCAAUCAUAUCAAAGCUUAGGUUUUAAGAGAGUCCCAAGGGGCUGAACCUUGUGCUUAUGCACUUUGAGGGGAAAGAAUGAACAACUCUCAAGCUUUUUUUCUUUUUUUGUAGCAUUGCCCUAGUCUUUACUUAUAGUAAGAAUAAAAUAUUUGCUACAUGAAUAAGCUCCAUGUUCCUACUACAUGUUUAUAUCCAUUCAGUUCUGUAUCAAAAGUUCUGUUUCUGUGUGGACACAAGUUUAUAAAUUGGAAAUAAGGUCAAUCCCAAGAAAACUGUAACGAAGAUGAACAAACCAAUUAUUUUACCUGAAAACUGCUCUUCUUUGGUCAUUUGGUAUGACUGCAUAUAUCCAUUCAUACUCUCUGUUUCUCUAAGGUAUAACGUACAGACAUCCCAUUCCAUCUAUAACAUGACAUUAUGUAGCUCAUUCUGGAGCAGAGAUUUUUGCAAUAAACUUGAAGUCCCACAAAUUCAUCUGUUUUCAUAUUUCAUUGUAAUUUGAAAAUUGCUUUGAUUUCAUGAAAUUUUACAUGAAAAUAAAUCUGCACUUCAGUCAAAAAGAGCAAAGUGAUAUUGAAGGAAAGUAGCAGUUGGGGGACACACAUGAUCUUUUUUGAUGAAGUACAGGACGUGCAAUGAAGAGAUGAAUAUUCAUGUUAUCCAAUAAAGGCUUUCCCAGCCAAAAUUCAUGUAAAAGCAAGCAAACAAAACCUUUUGAGGUUCUUGGCUUUUAUGCAGGCCUUUCACAUCCAUGGAUGUGAAGCUCUUAGAAGCUGGUUUCAGCCUAAAGGUACAUAGCACUGAAAAAAUGAGGAGUUCCAAAGCAUUAUCCUACGUUCUUAAAAAUAAUAAUAAUAAUAAAAAAAUCUAAAUAUGCAUGGUGCUUUACUGAUGGAACAAAAGCAGACAGUCAGUUGCUGUUCCCCUUUCCCCGUAGCGUUAUGCACACCUACGCAUCCUCACACCAGGAGUGUCUCAUGGCUGGAGCACAGCUACGGCGAUGAAGCUCCGGGCAGCCCUGGCCGGGCGUGUGGAGCGGCCACGUGCGGGCAGCAGCCGAGCGGAGGUGGCCGCGCUGGGCCUUGCCCAUCGCACCGCAAUUCCUGGACAGUUGCCACUGCUGCGCGUGUGUGGGGGGAGCACGAGCUCAGCAGGGACUUCUGCAGCAAGUCCAGGCAGGAAGAGGAGGUCUCUGCUUUUAAGGUAUUAUCCAAAUCAUCAUUUUUAUGUACAUAUAAAAACUUGUCUGGAUAUACUGUAAAAAGGCCCAGAUACGCAAAACCCAAAGAGCAAAGGAACUCAUGAAAAAUGAAAAACAAAACAAAACAAAAACCCAAAAAACAAAACGCAGGAAGCUUUAUGGGACUCCUCCUUUGCAGAAUUAAAUUCCUCCUGAACUGCAUUUCCAGGGUGAGGCUUUUUUAAGUACAGCUCUAAAAGGACCGAGGCUUAACUGGCAAACUGUGAGAUAUGAAAUGCUUGCAAGAUACAUCUGGUGUUGAGAUAAUUAAACUCAAAAUUAAACCUGUGCUAUAUUUGCAUCUGCAAAGCAUCAGUUAAUCAAACAUAAUGAGUUAAUCAGACCCCUUUUCUGAGGGCAAAAUAGUAACGUGCUUCACCGUGCUUUGUGUUUUCCAUAGACGCCGCUGUCAGACUUCCCAGGCAGAAACCAACUCUCCCUGAGCAUUUGCACAGCCAGCAGCGCAUUAGAGGCCUGGAAAUUUUCUAGGCACUGUUGCAACAUUAAUAGGAAAUAAUCAUGGUAAAACCAUUUUAUAGGAGCUUUUGCUCUGUAUUAAGAAGUCAAAUAAUAGCAAUAAUUAAGGGGGACACCACGCAAGACCCAGGGAAGGCGAUAACACUCUGUGUCCCAUUUUUGCAACCAUGAGACAGGCUGCUUAGCUAUUUAGCAAGACUGCUGCCAGUAAACCAGCGUGUCUCCCACAUUCCUAACAGCAAACAACAAGAGCAAAGAACACAUCCUCUGGUGGCCUCUGCAGAUUUAGCAAUUCCGUUUUGCUUUUUUUCUUAAAAAUGCUGUUGCUGGAUAUAGUUUCUAGGUAUUGUAAUUAAAUUAUUUUUAAUCUGGUGGAGAAAUAAUUUAUACUGUCUUGGUUGCUAGCUAUUUGAGAUAUUGUGGUUGCAUUUUUGGUGUCUUUGGUACAUUUUAUUGUAACAUUCUCAGGGCACUGCAGUCAAUUACUACACAUCAUGCUGUUUUACUUGCUACAAAGCAUCAUCCAAGUAUUUUCUAGCAAGUCCUUGUGGGUAUCUGCGUCCUGUUCGAGAAACACAUGCAUGUCCAUGCGCUGAUAGGUAGGAGAUCUGUGCCAACUCAGCCAUUUUGAUUAAUGCUUUUUCGGUUUGGUUCCUAUGGGCAUAAACCUUCUAGCUCAAGGCGCGAUAAAGUUAAAAAACGCAUUUUUAAAAGUAAACCAAAUGCGUUUGAAAACAAAGACUUAGCUGAUGUCUGCCUGUCAUGACUUCCCAGCGUUGUAAUUUUUCCCAGCUUUUCACUCCUCUCUCCUUUUCCAUUGCUCAUUAUCUCCUAUUCACCCACGCAGCCGUGCGGAUCCCCUCUCUCCCAGCCGUCCCAGUUCCUCCUGUCAUCGUGGCUACCUCCCCAUGGCGGCUGGAGGGGAAGUGGGAGGGACGGUCCCCGUGGGAAGCACAGACCCAACCAGCUACUCAGCAGUGAAAGAAAAGAGAAACAGGACUCGCUGGGUGAAAAGAGUCGAAAGAACGGCGUUUAGCCAGGAUAUAGGAAGGGUAGAAGAGAAGAAGUCCCACGGAUUAAAGAAGGGAAAAGGCUGGAAAUAAGUUUUGGUAGGUCUCAAGCUACCAGAUCAUUAAAGGCAAUUGAGGAAGAGGUGACCCCAGCGCUGAGGAAGGGGACAUGCUUCAGGGGAGAGAGAGGACUAAAAUCCAGAGGCAAGGAAAGGAAAAAGAUAGUGAAGUGAGUCAGAAAUACUACACACCAUCAAAUGGAAAACGGUGGAAGGGCCACGACUUCCAAUCACAGUUAAAAUAUGUGGGAUUUUCCCUUUGCCAUUGAGUCCCUAUAGGUGAGAGAGAAGACCUUGUCCCAGCAGAGUGGAAGCAGUAUCCGACACACAGAAAAUUCAUCAUUGUUGCUCAUCUGGCAUUCUUCAUUUAUGACUCUAUUCACUCUAUUUUAUUUAUUUAGAGAGCUGAUAAACCUGUAACAAGAUCCUAGAGAAGGCAGAGUACUGAGGUAUUAGCUGCUCCUUGAAGCCAUUCCUCCAAAACAAGAUUUUAAGGGAAGGUGAUGGCAGCUAGUCUAUAGCACCAACCCAUGCUCUAACAGGCACUGUAUGGUCCUAUUUUUGAGCAAUUUUCACCUCAGAAGAUGCAUGACUUCACUGAAAGCCUUGGGCUACAAACGAUUGCUAAGCCUGAUCCUGCUAUUUCCUUUUGUGGGAUGAUGUAGGUAAGCAGACGCUGCAGAAUCAGCCCCUUAAAGAUAAAGGGAGGAACACGUCUCUCCGUACAUCUGCCUAUUUUUUCCCCUGUGGAAAUGCUGUGAUUCUUUGUGAAAAUGGCAAAACAUUAACAGUUUGUGGAAAGUGGAAACGGGAGUGACCGUGAAAGCACAGCUAGAAUCUCACUGAUUUAGCACAUCAGUGCUGCUCAUUCUCUGCUGAUCCAAGGCAGUAAAGGGAAUAAGAACAGAAAAUAAAUAAUAUUCCUCAGAAAGACAUAAAAACGUAAGUCUUACUCAAAUUCACAUUUACCCUGGCUGUCCCUCCAGCAAGCUGGAUCAGCUUGCUCUGCUCAUAUGAAUAUUUUCAUUAAUUUGAACUGGAACUUUGCCUGACAAAGGAGCGCAGGAUCUUCCGUUUCUGGGCAGAAGCACUGUAACUACCAGCUGAAAUAUAUCAACACUCCAGAUAAGCCUUGAACUGCUGUAUCUGUUGAUUUAUUGCUGAUUAAAGACUUCCAAGUUGCUCCUAGUCCUGGUAAUUUACACAACUGAAAAUGUUAUGUUAAUGUAUUUAGGAAACAUUCGGAAAGCAUGUUAGUCUACCAGACAAAAUGAGUAAAUAAGUUGCCGGCUAACGGCCCUUUCAUCGGUCUUGGGGAGAGUCCUCUGAUUUCCACUGCGUACAUCAGCAGAGCGCUGAAUGCACACCUUAGAGCUGUCAUAACAGCAACAUUCUAUUAAUUUUCCUUUAAGCUGCAUGUCCUUGGUUCUUAAUAAAAAUAGUUCCUAUCUGUAAAUAAGACACUAAACUUGGCAUUUAAUAAUACAAAAAAAAAAGGUAUUCCCAUUUUUCACACAUUAUAAAUCACAUGAAGGCAAAAGAUCAUUUUAGAAAGAAAAGCAUAGGUAGCUCUAUUCUUAUAACAAACGACAUACAAGACUUCAACGCAAAAUCCUAUAACCCCAACAAGCAAGUACUAAUCUAAUAAGAGCAUAGCUUAAAAAAAAUUGUUAAAAUGUCACGUCUUAACCAGUUGAGGUGUGACCCUCACUGUUAAAAAAUGGAGCGGCUUACCAACCCUUCAACUAGAAUAUCACCAAAGAGAAAGCAUCAUCAAAAGAGUAACUCGUUUUUUUCUUCUUUUUACUGCAGUUCUGUGUUAACUGUCUUGCUUCAAGGUGACAGUCAAAUCUACAUCUACAAUCCCUGGGUGCAAAUGUGAGAUAUUUUCACGGGCUACAUUGGCAUGAGGCUGACUGACAAGUGGGGAUGGAGCUGCAGCGAGGGAGGGCGAAAUCGGCCCCAAAAGCCACUGACAGGAGGGGACAUGAUGUUUGAAGGGACUGAAGAGAAAUAACUUUCUAUAUGCAACUUCUACAGAAGCGUGACAAGAACGAGCAAGUAUCCCGGUCAUCCAGAGCGGAGACGCAGAACCUCAGGCUAGGUCCAAAGCUCCUCAACCUGUUUGCUCAGGCCGUUGUUGAAAGUGGACAGAAAAAGAGGUUCAAUCCAUAUCGUUUUAAAGACACUCUGUAAGGCUGGCAAACGAAGUGGCAGCAAAAUCCAGAAUUCUGAAGCUUUUUUUUUCCCUCUAAGAAGGCAAAAUUAGGAUAGCCAUUCAAUGAACUCUUCAGGCUGCAUUCCUGGCUAAGUUACACAUGUGAAGGAGAACAACUGUGAAGCUCAAUAGUUACAGGAUAAGGAAAACACAAAAAUGACCAGAAGGAAAGAAGGGGAGCCUAUUCUCCUUGGUGCGUGGCCAAGUGAGAUAAAGAGAAAGGAGCUUGCUUUGCCGCUCAAAACACAAAUAUUCCAGGGACCAUCUAAAUUUACUCCCACUCUGGAGUUUGGUUAUCCAGUCCCAUUCUGCUGCUUGGUAAUUCAAAGACAAUAACUAUAUAAACCUCAGCCUAAGCUUCCUUCCCAAAGCUUGGCUCUUCCUAGCGCUGUGCUCCAGGGCCUUCUCUGUCCCAGAUUUCUCCAGCUGAAAGAGUUAACUGGACCCUUCUGCCAGCCUUACCCUGCCUAACUAUUCUGGAUCUUACUAAGAGAACAUCGCACCUGAGGCUCGAGGGGAGCCUUGGCAGAAGGCUCCCACCAGGGGAAUUCCUGCUUUAAUUCUAUUGACAUCCGUGGAGCUACAAGAGAAGCAGGCCUGGUCCUUCGCCUCUCCUGCUAUUAUCCACAAAAGGCAGUUCUAUUUUUCUGCAUAACCAGUACCAGAAUACUGAACGUAUUGGCUGCCAAGAAAUGCAGAACAAACAGACUUACAUGUUUUUCCCUUUAUUUCCAUCAUCUGACCUUUGCUUUUUAUGUCUUAGGAGCAAGCUGCAACUUUAUUUACAUGUAUAAUCUAGAUGAAAUGCUAGUUUGUGCGUAGAAAGCUAUGAAGUCUUUGAUCUUUGAAUUUGAAACAUAAUGAAUUAAGGGAAACAUUGAAAAUGUUAGGUUUUCGGAUGACUCUCAUUUCAUGUUUCUGAUUCUUUCUACCCAGGCUAGAUCUUUUUGGCUUCCCUUGAGGCGUGAAGCAUUAGUUCAUACUCCAAAAUAUUAACUUGCAUCCUGACAUGGUAGGUACUCUAAUCACUCGUCAAUUGAACAGCGACAGACUCUGCAUCUCCACAGAAGCAUUAGACUGCAACAAAAAUGUGCAACCAUCCACCUCAAAAUUUUAUCAAGUCCUAAUAAUUAGAGGGAAAAUGAAUGAAUGAGUGAGUGAGUGAACAUCCUGGGUAAAAAAAGGAGAACUUAGAUAAUGAGGAAGACAACAACAACAACAAAAUAGGGAAAGGGAAAAGGUGCUAAGACAGAGUCAACAGAAAAAAAUAAAUUAGAGUAAGAACCUGGGAAAUUUUUUUAUGGUUAGUUCUUUUAUAGGUUUUAACCCAAGGUUUCAAACCUACAGCUUAUUAUAUAUUGACUCUUUUCAUCCCUAGUCUGAUUAAUUUCAUUUUUAAAAUCUCAAAAUUUUGACUUUCAGAUGUCUGCUCAGAUUUGGCUCUGAUUGCCAGUAUACAAAGAACACCUCCCCUCUUUUACCCCAUACGUUACGUCUGCACUACACAAUCUUCCUGUUUCUAUAUAUGGUAUGAAAGUAAGUUGUUACUGAAACUGUGGUAGAAGGUUCUUAACCUUUCUCGGUCAGAAAUAUUUUGCAGUACUGAAACGUGGGAGGGGGGAGGAAGAAGAAAGAAAGAAAAAUAAAACACUAACUUCCAUAUAUGUUUUCUUACUAAAGCAAAGCAUAAUUUAUCAUGACAAAAAUUUUCCAAUUCCAUAUAAAUGUAAUAAAGACUCUUUCAUAUCCACAUCUCCAAGCAUUAUAAACAUACUAUUCUGAUAAAAUCAUAUUAUUUUUCCUGAAAUUAUGAGCGAGAGAGGUUUCUGUGUAGGGGUUCUGUAUGCAACCAAAAGUAAAUUAAUAUGGAUUUACUGUUACAAUACCUGCUUUUUUAUUAUUUUUUAAACCUGAAAUAUUUUCUAGCUACACUUCCCUCGCGUUAUCUCCAUCCCCAGUGGCAGAUGAUCAUCAACCUAGCAUCACCAGGGCAGGGGUGGGGAGCAUCUCUGUGGAAAUAGAGACGACCCCUUUCUCCCUCCCACCCCCAAUUUGCAGGAUAUUAUUCUGUGACCCAGCUAAAGGCUAAGAGACUGCUCAUUUUCUUUGCUGCCACACACAACCCACCAACACAAAGUGGCUGGGAGGUGGAGCACCGCCGCUUCCCUGAAAGCCGCUGCGCGUCACCACGCAUCCAUUACCAAAGAGAAGACCUUCCCUCCAGAAAAAAGAUCACGACGAUCAAAAGCUCUCCUCCCUGCCACCUCCUCCCCCAGAUUGACUUUAAUAUCAAAAAAAUUACUGCUCAGUUCCUACAUAUUUAAUUUAAAGAGUGUUGUUAGGAAAAUUUGACUUGCCAAUUACAGCAGCACCUGAUAGCCUGUUUUUUCCACAGAUGCCAUGCCUGGUUUUGCAUUGAAGGUUGCAUUAUUUUGUGAGUCCAUUGACUUAACUGCCUGAGAGAAUAAAUUUAAUCUACUCUAGUUGUAAUUCUUCAUACAAUCACAGGAAAUAGGAAUAAUUUGUCAAUACUAAGCUUAUAAUGCGCUGUAGACAGCAUUCACACCUAUUUUUCUAUAGUUCUGCUGUUCUUUUUAAGGUGAAGGAAGGUGAUUAAUGCUUCCACAAGACAAGCAUGAUAGCUGGGUAUGUCGUACAGCAAAUUCAGUUUAACUGCAGGUAGCGCUGAAAUUAACUUGUCUUUUUUCAAAACGCUCCUGAGAUGAGGAGAGCGUUCUCAAUGAACAGUUCAUUCUCAAAACCGAAAGAGAACAGGGAAUGUCCCUGCGUCUUUUAAAAACUCUCCAAAGUGUUUAACAGACCUCCUGCCAGUUUGUCAGAUACCGAGCUUCCCUAGACAAAUGAAACUAUCUCAGUUGCACGGUACUUGUAAAGCAAGAACGUAUGUAACCUGUUUUCUCAAAACACACAUGCUACAAAUAAAGAUAUCAAGUGUACUGACAUUUCUG